rnacentral:lncRNA from 1 species
GGUAAGUAGGAUGUCCUAAGUACAACUCGGUUGUCCUUCUUCCUUCUAUUUCUUUCUUUGAAUAAGGGUCGGGUCAAAAUUUGGUAUCAUUGUCUACUUUUUUCUUAAAAAAAAAAUACUUUGUGUUUACACCUAAAAAGGGGCAUGAUGUAGACACCUAAUUUUGUCCCUCCCAAAGCCCAAUUCAUCCACUUUUAACCUCACGUUAUCAUACACCCUCACCCAUGUGAUUAUAC